CAACUUUAGAAACCUCUGUUUAUUCCUGGCUAAAUUUUAAAAAAUAAGCAGAGCUCCCUUCUCUCCAGGACACCCACUGGACUUUGUCUUCCCUUUGGAAACUCACUCCACUCCUGGACUACUUCUCACCUUAUGGUACAGUGGAUAGAGCACCAACCCUGAAGUCAGGAGGACUUGAGGUCAAAAAUGAUCUCAGAAACUUAGCAUUUCCUAGAUGUGUGACCCUGGGCAAGUCACUUAACUCCAUUUGCCUUAGCACAUAUAUAUAUAGUAUAAAUAAAGAUCCUUUGUAGGUAAAAUUAACAAAAUUUGGCACCUGGAUGAAUAUGAGUGAUGAAAAAAAAGGAAGAGUUGAAAAUGACCUUGAGUUUACAAACCUGAGUCCCUUGAACAAAAAUAGACAAGUUAGGAAGAGGGGGAUGGUUUAGGGAGAAGUAUAAAUACUAAUGUAGGGAACAUGUUGAAUUUGAGAUGCCUAGAGGAUGAUCAGUUGAUCAUCAGAUGAUGAAGUCCAAUAAGCAUGGUCAUGAGGGUUGGUCAUGAGGGAGUGGUGUGAUAAAUAGAUCUUAGAUUCUUCUGCUUUGAGAUGACAUUUGAGUCAUUUGGAGUUAAUGAAAUCAUCAAUAGAUGGCUAAAUAAAUAAUAAAUCAUCUACAGAGAAAGGAGGCUCAGGAGAGUCCUGAAGCUGUUAUAAUUUUAAGGGGCUGUGAUAGGGGAUGAUGGAGGACAUAGAGAAGAAAAGAUUUAUGCAGCCAAUAAAGGUCACAGAUUGUACUAGAACCCAUGUUUUCCUGAGUCCAGUGGCAGAUACUAUGCCGUGCUACUUCUCAAAAUAGCUACUAAUAGGAAAAUCAAAGGAAUCGUUAUUACUUUAAGAUUAUAACUAUGACCGCAUCAUUCCCCUAUUUAAAAAUAAACAAACAAAAAUUGCCAAUGCUUUCCACUUAGCUUCCUGAAUAAAUUAUUAACUCUUGGCUUUAGCAUGCUGGUCUCUGAGGUGUCUUCCAACUCUCAGAUUCUGAGACUCUUAUUAUCAUUACUACUACAAAAACUCACCAAAAAUUCUGUGAAAUAGGUAUUACAUAGGCUAUCCAUCCCACUUUAGAGCUGAAGAAAUGAGGCACCGAGAAGUUGAGUUAGUUAAUCACAGUUGUGUAGGAAAUGAGUCUGUGACUUCUUAGAGUUUCUUGUUCUAAAUUCAGUAUUUUCUGCACACAACCCUCACCCAUAUUAUGGUGGUUAGAGAUAGAAAAAUACAACAGCUAUUUGAGAUGGGGUGGACAUAAGGGGUCAAUAUACAUACAUAUACACAUACAUGCAGGUAUGGAGGUAAACAUACAGGUUCAUGUGUGUAUAUACACAUACAUGUGCCUUGCAGCUCUUCUUAGUUGUGUGUAUAUUCACACAAGCACACACGUAACAUGC